CGAACUGAAUAGGAUCCAUUUCGUAUAACCUUAAUAAUUGGAUUAAGGGUCUCUACUUAGAAACCGUAAAUUUCUAGCUACGAAAAAUGUGCAUACCGGC
rnacentral:ncRNA from 1 species